rnacentral:rRNA from 1 species
UACGUAGGGUGCAAGCGUUAUCCGGAUUUACUGGGCUUAAAGGGUGCGUAGGCGGGUAAGUAAGUCAGUGGUGAAAUCUCCGGGCUUAACCCGGAAACUGCCAUUGAUACUAUUUGUCUUGAAUACUGUGGAGGUCAGCGGAAUAUGUCAUGUAGCGGUGAAAUGCUUAGAUAUGACAUAGAACACCAAUUGCGAAGGCAGCUGGCUACACAAAUAUUGACACUGAGGCACGAAAGCGUGGGGAUCAAACAGG